AUGAACGCUGGCGGCGUGCCUAAUACAUGCAAGUCGAACGCUUCACUUCGGUGAAGAGUGGCGAACGGGUGAGUAAUACAUAAGUAACCUGGCAUCUACAGGGGGAUAACUGAUGGAAACGUCAGCUAAGACCGCAUAGGUGUAGAGAUCGCAUGAACUCUAUAUGAAAAGUGCUACGGGACUGGUAGAUGAUGGACUUAUGGCGCAUUAGCUUGUUGGUAGGGUAACGGCCUACCAAGGCGACGAUGCGUAGCCGACCUGAGAGGGUGACCGGCCACACUGGGACUGAGACACGGCCCAGACUCCUACGGGAGGCAGCAGUAGGGAAUUUUCGGCAAUGGGGGAAACCCUGACCGAGCAACGCCGCGUGAAGGAAGAAGUAAUUCGUUAUGUAAACUUCUGUCAUAGAGGAAGAACGGUGGAUAUAGGGAAUGAUAUCCAAGUGACGGCACUCUAUAAGAAAGCCACGGCUAACUACGUG
rnacentral:rRNA from 1 species